AAUUCGCGAGAAAUCUCUCGCGACAUAUAGCAUAUAGCUCCCAUGGUGAUUCGCCAAAUCCUUAUAUCCCUGAACAACCCUGCAGUUUCCUUUCGCGACUCAUCACCAAGUGUCACAAACUGUUCAAUGUUCGCUAACUGUUGAUUAGUGCCAUCGCAGGUUGACCACAGUCCGGCGACUUCGUUCUCAUAUAAUAUAACUUGUCUGAGAUAUGUUUGCUGGAAAAAAACAAAGUGACAGAAAACAUUGGUAUCUUCUAACUUGUGAGUUCUCAGAUACUUAAUUUUAUUACAAUUUAUCCAUAUUCAGGUUCUCAUUUGUGUGAGACAGGUUUGCUGGAAAAGAACAAAGUAACAGAACACAUUGGUAUCUUCAUUCUCAAUUAACUAUAUUAUAUCUUUUGAGCUAUUUAUUCUUAGAGCUAUGUAUGAAUCAAAUGAAAGUCGGUGAAUCUAUGUCCUCUGCCACUUUCUAUAUUUGGUUAUGAGAUUAUAAAUGAUUUUUGCCUUCUUUCAUGCUGAUAGCAUUAUAUAUAUAUACAUUAAAACUGUAUUUAAAUUUUGGCUAUUUUUGCUUUGUUAUGUGGAAUCUUGUUUGGCUAUUCACUUUGCACAACGCUGCAUCGCCCGUCACCGCCUCUCGUCUUCUUCCUCACACUUUAAGCCUCUUUUGAUUCUCUCCUCUAAGGAUGCAUAAGAGGCUGUGCAGGUUCUAAUCAGGUUAUUUUGAUUAGUUGUUUAUAGGAGUAUACAUUUUUUUUUGACAUAGUUUACAGAAGUAUGCAUGUUUAUAGAAGUAUUGGUGAAAAGUAGGUUAGUAGAUGUGAUUUAUGGCUUUGGCUUGGACUUGCUUGUAGUUGGGUGAUAUGUAAGUUUGUUUUACUUGUUUUGUUUUAUUGGUUAAUGCUUAUAAGAUGCAUAUGUUGGGAUGUGGCAAUAAGAAGGAACUAAUUAAGCUUUUACAUAUAUAAAGUUAAAUCAUUGUGGAAAA